AACGAUAUUUUCGUACUAGAAUACCCACACGAGUAAUCAAAUAUAUUAAAAAGAAGUUAUUUAUAAGUUUUGGUAUGUAAUUUUCUAGUGUAUAAAUCUUUUUAAGAUAUAUACACCAGUGUCAUAUCUUUUAUUAGAUAUGUACACGAUAGAUCACUGCAUUUAAUAGAAGAAAAUUUUAUUAAGUUAUUCUCAAACAAUAACGAAAAAAACUUAGUCUGCAAUAAAAACGUCGACUAAGUAUAUAACCCUUUUUU
rnacentral:misc_RNA from 1 species